UAAGCAUAUCAAUAAGCGGAGGAAAAGAAACUAACAAGGAUUCCCCUAGUAACGGCGAGUGAAGAGGGAAGAGCCCAAGAUUGAAAGCUGGCGUCUUCGACGUCCGCAUUGUAAUCUCAAGAAUUGUUUUCCGCUUCGGACCAAGCCUAAGUCUCCUGGAAAGGAGCAUCAUAGAGGGUGAUAAUCCCGUACAUGGCUUGGAGCGCCCGUAGCUUUGUGAUACAUUUUCUAAGAGUCGAGUUGUUUGGGAAUGCAGCUCAAAAUGGGUGGUAAAUGCCAUCUAAGGCUAAAUAUUGGGGAGAGACCGAUAGCGAACAAGUACAGUGAUGGAAAGAUGAAAAGAACUUUGAAAAGAGAGUUAAACAGUACGUGAAAUUGCCAAAAGGGAAGGGUAGGAGGUCAGAGAUGCUUGCUGGGAUUCAGCCUUGCUUUUGCUUGGUGUUUUUCCUAGUCGGCAGGCCAACGUCGGUUUUGGGCACUGGAGAAGGGUAAGAGGAACGUGGCACCCCUCGGGGUGUGUUUAUAGCCUCUUACUGGAUACAGCGACCGAGACCGAGGACAGCAGCGUACUCGCAAGAGCGGGCCUUCGGGCACCUUUACGCUUAGGGCGUUGGCAUAAUGGCCCUCUACCACCCGUCUUGAAACACGGACCAAGGAGUCU
rnacentral:rRNA from 1 species